GGAAGGAGCCCAAGCGGUCGCUGCCCCUUUGAGGGGGAGAGGAAAGUCCGGGCUCCACAGGGCAGGGCGCUGGAAAAAUUCCAGUGGGCGUGAGCCCAAGGAAAGUGCCACAGAAACAUACCGCCCGGCACUCAUUAUAGAGUUUGGCGCAAAGCAAACCAUGACCAGCUUCAUUGAAAGCGUUAUUUCCCAACAGGCCUCCAAACCCUGUAAUGAGUGCCGGGUAAGGGUGAAAAGGUGGGGUAAGAGCCCACCAGCUGUCGGGUGACCGACAGGCUAGGCAAACCCCGCCCGGAGCAAGACCGAAUAGGAGGGGAUGAGGCUGCCCGCUGACCCUCGGGUACGGUCGCUUGAGGGCCGGCGAAAGCCGGCUCCUAGAUAAAUGACCGCCUCGCACAGAACCCGGCUUAGGGGUUGCUUCCCGCG
rnacentral:RNase_P_RNA from 1 species